GAGUUUGAUCGUGGCUCAGAGCGAACGUUUGCGGCGGGCCUAACACAUGCAAGUCGAACGGGUUAGCAAUAACCAGUGGCGCACGGGUGCGUAACACGUAGGUAAUCAACCCCUUGGUUCGGGAUAACGUUCUGAAAGGAGCGCUAAUACCGGACUCGUCGUCGAGAGCUUCGGCUUUUGACGAGAAAGACCCUCAAGGGUUGCCGAGGGACGAGCCUGCGGCCCAUCAGCUAGUUGGCGAGGUAAUAGCUCACCAAGGCGAAGACGGGUAGCUGGUCUGAGAGGAUGAUCAGCCACACUGGAACUGAGACACGGUCCAGACUCCUACGGGAGGCAGCAGUGGGGAAUAUUGCGCAAUGGGCGAAAGCCUGACGCAGCCACGCCGCGUGAGCGAUGAAGGCCUUC
rnacentral:rRNA from 1 species